UGAACAAUCGGAGUCUAGAAUACAUUCUGGCCUGCACCCUUCGUACGGAUUUCCUAUGUAGCCCGAGAGACACGCGCAAGAGCCUACGUUGUUUCUUUCGGUGCAUCUCGCAUUAGGCCCGCAAGGAGAGGCACAUAGGCGUGUGACUGACAGUACGACAUUGUGCAUUCUCUCCACAUGAACCAAUACAAGGAUUUUUACAUUUUUGGUUCACACAAGCUUGAUAACUCGGACACUCGCUAUUGCUGAUACACUCAGGUCUGCAAUUCGGUGGAGAACCGAUAAAAUCAGGUAAACAUAUGCAGGAAGAUGAAUUUUCUGAUAUUUGACACUGAGCAUUGGGUCCACAAGGUGAAGAGUAUUCGUAUGAUAAUUAAAAGAAAACUUACGAAGUAAAAAACAUCUAACGAAUGGAUCACCCGUGAAUCCUUCAGGACAAUGACAAAUAGGAUUACGAUUUGCAACUGUGCAACGAGCUUCCAAACCACACGAACCGAUGCAAGGAUUUCUACACUUCUGAUUUGUGCAAAUUUCAUUUGGUGGACAUUCAGAGCUAAUUAUACACUCUGGACGACAAUUCGGAGCACGGAAACAGGCAGUGAAAGGAUCUCCAGUGUAUCCAUUGUUGCAGAAACAAAUAGGACUAUGAUUAAUAAUCCUACAAUUGGCAUUCACGCCACACGAAUUGGGACAUGGAUCUAUGCAUUUCUGAUUAACGCAGGCUCGUGUCAGAGAGCAUUCAGUGCUAACUACACAUUCUGGUCUGCAAUUAGGUGGACUGCCAAGGUAAGAUGAUUUACAAGAACAGACUGCUUGAUUAUUGUUUACGCGACAUUCGCUAUUUGGCCCACAAGGUGAAGGAUUGCAAGGAUUCACUAUCACAUCUUCUUCUAGAAUAUAAUAGGAGAAUGAUAGAUUUGGAAAAUGAAAUUAAGUGAUGUAGAUUUUUAAAUGAGUAUGAUAGUUAAAGUAUUUAAAAAUAUAUAGAAUAUUCAGAUGACAUAGAAGAUACAUUUUUAAAAAUUUCAGAGAAUAAUAGAUUUUACAUGAUAUUCAAUGAAAUCAAAUAAAAUAUUCUUUGAUUUUUCUUUAAUAUCUACAUCAUUUGAAUUUCUCAAAAAAAUAAAUAUAAUCAAUCCUUACGUUUCAUUGGACUCAAAUUGCAAUAUCUAAAUGGGUCUCCCGUAUAUCCCUGUAUACAAAUGCAUACUGGCAAAUGAUUCACAACAUUGCACAUGGCAUUCGGACCACAAGUGCCUGGACAAGGAUCCUGGCAUUUGGAUCUUAUGCAUGCAAGAUUCGCUGUACAAUCUGAAUUCACGACGCAUUCUGGUCUGCAACCCUCGUAAGGGUUUCCUAUGUAAUCAGGCAAGCAAGAGCAAGCACCUGCAUUUCCUGAUUCUUUACAAAUCGCGUUCGCGCCACAUGGUGUUGGUAUACAAGUAUUAAAAAUAAAAUCGAAUGGGACAAACUUACUUUGAAGGGGACUGCAUUGAACAAAAGGAUCUCCAGUGAAUCCUGUACGACAAGAGCAAAUCGGAGUAUGACUGAACACGCUGCACUCAGCAUUAGCUCCGCAUAAAUCAGGACAUGGAUCUUUGCAUUUCUGAUUAAUACAAGCUUGUCGAGUUGAACACUCGCUAUUGCUAACACAUUCUGGUCUACAAUUUGGCGGGGAUCCCGUGAAUUCUGGCAAACACGAGCAUGAGGGUGCUUGAUUCAUAAUUUGACAUUGAGCAUUUGGACCGCAAGGUGAUGGGUAACACGGAUUGAUCGGUUCUGGAGAUGUUUCGACUGUGAAACGAAUUCAGUAAAAAUAAUAAAAAAAGACUUUAAACGAUAUUUUGUUUAAUGACUAAUAUCUUACCUAUAACAGUACAAACAGCGAAAGGAUCACCACUCAAACCUUGAGGACACCUGCAAAUGGGAUUAUGAUUGACCACGGAGCAUUCUGCUCUUACACCACAACUUCCGGGACAAGGAUCUCUGCAUUUCUGAUUGACACAAGCUUUGGAAAGCUCGCAAUCUGAACUAACGACACAUUCUGGUCGACAAGUAGGUGGAUUGCCCAUGAAACCUUCUAUACAUUUGCAAACUGCGAUUCCAUUUACUUCUUGACAAUGACUAUUCGGUCCACAAGGUGAUGGAGUGCAAGGGUUUUGUAUUGUAUCUUCUAAUGAAAAGAAGAAUGUAAAUUUAAUAUCUUCAAUUUUAAAUUUUAUGGAAAUUAAUGAAGGAAGAUUUAACAUAUUGUACCCUGAACUGGAGAACAGGAAACAAAAGCGUUUCCGGACAUGCCAAUAGGACAGUUACACAUGGGAAUGUGAUUAAUCGUCUGGCAUUGUGCGUUCUGUCCACAAGUUCCUAUACAUGGAUCUAUGCAUUUGUUUCUUAUACAUGCUCUGUCACGAGCACAGUCAGUAUUCAUCACACAUUCUGGUCGACAACCACUAUAAGGAUCACCUUGGAAUUCCGGAAGACACGUGCAAGAACCAUCGCGACAAAGCGCAUUUGCUCCACAUGAUAUUUUUGAAUUUUUGAAUAAGAAAUGGAAAGAAUAUAAUCAG
rnacentral:lncRNA from 1 species